UCGAACGGCAGCAGCAGAAGCUUGCUCCUGGCUGGCGAGUGGCGGACGGGUGAGUAACACGUAGGAAUCUUUCCUAGAGUGGGGGACAACCCCGCGAAAGCGGGGCUAAUACCGCAUAUUCUCUAUGGAGUAAAGCAGGGGACCUUUCGGGGCCUUGCGCUUUAGGGUGAGCCUGCGGCGGAUUAGCUUGUUGGUGGGGUAACGGCCUACCAAGGCAACGAUCCGUAGCUGGUCUGAGAGGAUGAUCAGCCACAUUGGGACUGAGACACGGCCCAAACUCCUACGGGAGGCAGCAGUGGGGAAUAUUGGACAAUGGGCGCAAGCCUGAUCCAGCAAUGCCGCGUGUGUGAAGAAGGCCUGCGGGUUGUAAAGCACUUUCAGUAGGGAGGAACGGCUCAAGGCUAAUAUCCUUGAGAGAUGACGUUACUUACAGAAGAAGCACCGGCUAACUCUGUGCCAGCAGCCGCGGUAAUACAGAGGGUGCGAGCGUUAAUCGGAAUUACUGGGCGUAAAGCGUGCGUAGGCGGAUAU
rnacentral:rRNA from 1 species